AGAGUUUGAUCCUGGCUCAGGAUGAACGCUAGCGGCAGGCUUAAUACAUGCAAGUCGAGGGGCAGCACAGGUAGCAAUACUGGGUGGCGACCGGCAAACGGGUGCGGAACACGUACGCAACCUUCCUUUAAGUGGAGAAUAGCCCAGGGAAACUUGGAUUAAUACUCCGUAACAUUAUGAGAUGGCAUCAUUUUAUAAUUAAAGCUACGGCGCUUAAAGAUGGGCGUGCGGCUGAUUAGGUAGUUGGCGGGGUAACAGCCCACCAAGCCUGCGAUCAGUAACUGGUGUGAGAGCACGACCAGUCACACGGGCACUGAGACACGGGCCCGACUCCUACGGGAGGCAGCAGUAAGGAAUAUUGGUCAAUGGACGCAAGUCUGAACCAGCCAUGCCGCGUGGAGGAUGAAGGCCCUCUGGGUUGUAAACUUCUUUUAUUUGGGAAGAAACCCACCUUUUCUAAGGUGGUUGACGGUACCAGAUGAAUAAGCACCGGCUAACUCCGUGCCAGCAGCCGCGGUAAUACGGAGGGUGCAAGCGUUAUCCGGAUUCACUGGGUUUAAAGGGUGCGUAGGUGGGCAGGUAAGUCAGUGGUGAAAUCUCCGGGCUUAACCCGGAAACUGCCGUUGAUACUAUCUGUCUUGAAUAUCGUGGAGGUGAGCGGAAUAUGUCAUGUAGCGGUGAAAUGCUUAGAUAUGACAUAGAACACCAAUUGCGAAGGCAGCUCGCUACACGGUUAUUGACACUGAGGCACGAAAGCGUGGGGAUCAAACAGGAUUAGAUACCCUGGUAGUCCACGCCCUA
rnacentral:rRNA from 1 species